GUUGAGAUGGCUGAGUUGGUCUAAGACACUAAAUUAAAGUUUUGGUCCGAAAGGGCGUAGGUUCAAAUCCCACCCUCAACA
rnacentral:tRNA from 1 species